rnacentral:rRNA from 1 species
AUUGAACGCUGGCGGCAUGCUUUACACAUGCAAGUCGAACGGUAACAGGCCUUCGGGUGCUGACGAGUGGCGAACGGGUGAGUAAUGCAUCGGAACGUACCCAGAGGUGGGGGAUGACGCAGCGAAAGCUGUGCUAAUACCGCAUGUGAUCUGAGGAUGAAAGCGGGGGACCGAGCAGCAAUGUUUGGCCUCGCGCCUUUGGAGCGGCCGAUGUCGGAUUAGCUAGUUGGUGGGGUAAAGGCCUACCAAGGCGACGAUCCGUAGCUGGUCUGAGAGGACGACCAGCCACACUGGGACUGAGACACGGCCCAGACUCCUACGGGAGGCAGCAGUGGGGAAUUUGGGACAAUGGGCGCAAGCCUGAUCCAGCAAUGCCGCGUGCGGGAAGAAGGCCUUCGGGUUGUAAACCGCUUUUGGCAGGAACGAAACGGUGUCCGCUAAUACCGGGCGCUAAUGACGGUACCUGCAGAAUAAGCACCGGCUAACUACGUG